GACGAACGCUGGCGGCGUGCCUAACACAUGCAAGUCGAACGGAAAGGCCCUGCUUUUGCGGGGUGCUCGAGUGGCGAACGGGUGAGUAACACGUGAGUAACCUGCCCUUGACUUUGGGAUAACUUCAGGAAACUGGGGCUAAUACCGGAUAGGAGCUCCUGCUGCAUGGUGGUGGUUGGAAAGUUUCGGCGGUUGGGGAUGGACUCGCGGCUUAUCAGCUUGUUGGUGGGGUAGUGGCUUACCAAGGCUUUGACGGGUAGCCGGCCUGAGAGGGUGACCGGCCACAUUGGGACUGAGAUACGGCGCAGACUCCUACGGGAGGCAGCAGUGGAGAAUAUUGCACAAUGGACGGAAGCCUGAUGCAGCAACGCCGCGUGCGGGAUGACGGCCUUCGGGUUGUAAACCGCUUUCGCCUGUGACGAAGAGUGAGUGACGGUAAUGGGUAAAGAAGCACCGGCUAACUACGUG
rnacentral:rRNA from 1 species